AACAUCGCGCACCUGCGGGAACCUGCGGAGGGAUCAUUACCGAGUUCGCGCCCCCAGGGCGGAUCUCCCACCCCUGUCAUCGCUACGACCGUUGCUUUGGCGGGCCGCCGGGCCCCGCCCGCCGCCGGCUCCGGCCGGCGUGUGCCCGCCAGAGGCCCUGCAGACUCGAGGUGUUCGCGUCGUCUGAGUACCGCAUAAUCGUCAAAACUUUUAACAACGGAUCUCAGAUCGGAAGAGCAC
rnacentral:misc_RNA from 1 species